rfam:Schistosoma mansoni strain Puerto Rico chromosome 1, complete genome
AGCUUUUUGAAUCCGUGCUGAGAUUUUAUCAGACACCAACCCAUUAGGGCUGAUUAGACUUUCAAGAUACGUGAGGUU